rnacentral:rRNA from 1 species
UACAGGGGGGGCAAGCGUUGUUCGGAAUUACUGGGCGUAAAGGGUUUGUAGGUGGCCACUUAAGUCAGACGUGAAAUCCCUCAGCUUAACUGGGGAACUGCGUCUGAUACUGCGUGGCUUGAGUGCAGGAGAGGGACGCGGAAUUCCAGGUGUAGCGGUGAAAUGCGUAGAUAUCUGGAGGAACACCGGUGGCGAAGGCGGCGUUCUGGACUGUAACUGACACUGAAAAACGAAAGCCAGGGGAGCAAACGGG